rnacentral:rRNA from 1 species
CCCUUAGAUGUUCUGGGCAGCACGCGCGCUACAAUGGUCUUCGCAAACGGAUGCAUUCUCGAAGGAGAAUGCCAAUCUUGGAAUCUAUGCCUUGGUCGGGACAGUUGCUUGCAAUUUUUCGACUCGAACCAGGAAUUCCUUGUAAUCGUGAUUCAUCACAUCACGAUGAAUACGUCCCUGCCCUUUGUACACACCGCCCGUCGCUCCUACCGAUCGAAGAGUUAGGUGAAUUGUUUUGAUCGAUAAGAUUUGACUAUGGUCAACUCUCGUUGUGAAAUUCUGUGAAUCUGACUGUUUAAAGGAAGGAAAAGUCGUAACA